GAAACAGAUGCUAAUACCGUAUAACAGAGAAAACCGCAUGGUUUUCUUUUAAAAGAUGGCUCUGCUAUCACUUCUGGAUGGACCCGCGGCGUAUUAGCUAGUUGGUGAGGUAAAGGCUCACCAAGGCAGUGAUACGUAGCCGACCUGAGAGGGUAAUCGGCCACAUUGGGACUGAGACACGGCCCAGACUCCUACGGGAGGCAGCAGUAGGGAAUCUUCCACAAUGGACGCAAGUCUGAUGGAGCAACGCCGCGUGAGUGAAGAAGGGUUUCGGCUCGUAAAGCUCUGUUGUUAAAGAAGAACGUGGGUAAGAGUAACUGUUUACCCAGUGACGGUAUUUAACCAGAAAGCCACGGCUAACUACGUGCCAGCAGCCGCGGUAAUACGUAGGUGGCAAGCGUUAUCCGGAUUUAUUGGGCGUAAAGCGAGCGCAGGCGGUCUUUUAAGUCUAAUGUGAAAGCCUUCGGCUCAACCGAAGAAGUGCAUUGGAAACUGGGAGACUUGAGUGCAGAAGAGGACAGUGGAACUCCAUGUGUAGCGGUGAAAUGCGUAGAUAUAUGGAAGAACACCAGUGGCGAAGGCGGCUGUCUGGUCUGCAACUGACGCUGAGGCUCGAAAGCAUGGGUAGCGAACAGGAUUAGAUACCCUGGUAGUCCAUGCCGUAAACGAUGAUUACUAAGUGUUGGAGGGUUUCCGCCCUUCAAUG
rnacentral:rRNA from 1 species